rnacentral:rRNA from 1 species
UACGUAGGGUGCGAGCGUUGUCCGGAAUUAUUGGGCGUAAAGGGCUCGUAGGCGGUUUGUCGCGUCGGGAGUGAAAACUCAGGGCUUAACCCUGAGCCUGCUCCCGAUACGGGCAGACUAGAGGUAUGCAGGGGAGAACGGAAUUCCUGGUGUAGCGGUGAAAUGCGCAGAUAUCAGGAGGAACACCGGUGGGGGAGGCGGUUCUCUGGGCAUUACCUGACGCUGAGGAGCGAAAGUGUGGGGAGCGAACAGG